CCCUUAGACGUUCUGGGCCGCACGCGCGCUACAAUGGCAAACUCAGCGAGUCUCCUUUACCGACAGGUAUAGGAAAUCUUUUCAGUGUUUGCCGUGAUGGGGCUAGACCCUUGUAAUUAUUGGUCUCCAACGAGGAAUUCCUAGUAAACGCAGGUCAUUAACCUGCAUUGAUUACGUCCCUGCCCUUUGUACACACCGCCCGUCGCACCUACCGAUUGAAUGGUCCGGUGAAGUCUCCGGACUGAGUACUUUUAGUACUUGGGAAGUUGACUAAACCUUACUAUUUAGAGGAAGGUGAAGUCGUAACA
rnacentral:rRNA from 1 species